UAAAAUCAUGCUGAAGUUCUUUCACCAUCAUGAAAACAAGAUCCUGGUGGAGGAAUGGGCAAAUCAACCUAAUCCAUUUAAAAUAAAUUUUGAGCUUUUCCACAACAAAUGCCAGUCUUCUUUCUUCCAGGUCCUCCAUUCAAGAGUUAAUGAUGUAGAUGGUGAAUCUAUGCAGCUCAGCAGUUCUUAAGCAGCAUUCAAAGACCCCACAACUCUAAUGGAAGGCAGUAACUCAAGAACUGAGCUAAUGCUAACAAG